UAAAUUAAUAAAUUGCAAUAAAAUAUAUAAUACAUGUGUUUGAUCAAUUAUUUGUCACGUAAAUAAUUAUUUAUGCCGGUGAAUUUGUUUCAAAAGAACAAAUUCGUUUUGUUAUCGCAAAUAAUUUAUGUCAAUAACUAGAAAAUAAUUUUUUGUUUUAAAAAAAUAAAUUUUCUUUUGAAAUAUGUAAUUAUUUUCCAUGGCGGUAGAUAAGAAAAUAAAAAAUUAUAUAUUUGUUUUCUUAACGAGGGAAUAUAAAUACUGUAAGCAAACCCAACUGUUUGCUAAUUUUUAUCUAAAACUUCUCCAAGUCUCACGGGAAUUAAAAUAUAAAUAUUAUAAAUUAUAUAAAAUCAUAUAAAUUAUAAAAAAUUAAAAUGUAUUCAUUUAAAACUCUAUACUUUUUGUUAUUCUGCUUGAUUUUGAGUCUCUUUUUGACGACGAUAAAUGCUGCUUGCAAAAGAGAAGGAAAAUGGUGUAAUCCACAAGGUUCAAAAGAUGAAUGCUGCAGUACUGUGUGUUCUAAGAAAUUCAGAACUUGUCUUGGAUAACAUUGAAAUAAGAACUUUUUAAAAGUUGAUAUUAUACAAUUUUCGGAGAAAAGUUAGCAUUUUCUCUUGAUCUUCAUCAAGUUUAUUUUGAUUUUGUAAAAUUUGAGUGACAUUAAAAAUUGUAUUUGUCGAAAUAAACGAAAGUUAAAAAUUGAA